rnacentral:rRNA from 1 species
GAGAGAGACAUGCGCGCAUAUCAAUAAGCGGAGGAAAAGAAACUAACAAGGAUUCCCUUAGUAACGGCGAGUGAAGCGGGAAGAGCUCAAAUUUGAAAUCUUCAAGGUUCUACCUUGACGAAUUGUAGUUUAUAGAAGUGUUUUCUGUUAGUGGAGUGGCAAAAGUUCUUUGGAAUAGGACAUCAUAGAGGGUGAGAAUCCCGUAUUUGGUCAUUCCUCCUAGCGUUGUGAUACACUUUCAACGAGUCGGAUUGUUUGGGAAUGCAGUCCAAAAUGGGUGGUAAAUUUCAUCUAAAGCUAAAUAUUGGCGAGAGACCGAUAGCGAACAAGUACCGUGAGGGAAAGAUGAAAAGAACUUUGAAAAGAGAGUUAAACAGUACGUGAAAUUGUCAAAAGGGAAGCGUUUGACACCAGUGUUGUUUUUCCGAAAAUCAAUUACGAAUGUUUUGUUUUUGAGGAGUUAUGACUUCAUCGGCUUGCUCCUUUCUUUAUGAAACUUUCUUAAUGCACUUUUCGGUUAACAAGUCAACAUCAAUUUCUUUUGUUGUAAAAGGGUAUGAGGAAGGUGGCUUUCUUUUCGGAGAAAGUGUUUAUAGCCUUGUACCUCUGCAAUCGGAGAGAUUGAGGUCUGCAGCGUAGAUCCUUCGGAGUUAGAUACGUUUGUGCUAAGUUAUAGCUUUUCAUAGACAACUUGUUGACUAUGUUUAGUCUUGUAGCUUACUCGCUGACGCUAUUUUACCUACGCUUAGGAUGUUGAUAGUCACAGCGUGUAC